UGCUCUGACGCUGCACGUCAUGACCCUCCUGCUCUGCAGAGUAGGGUGCCCAGGCACAGAGACAGAGAAGGGCCUGCCCAAGUUCACAUAGUAUCGAAGGGCUAAGCCUCAAGCUCCUUUCAUGGGGCCUGAAGGUGAUGAGCAGCUACUGAGAUGCAGCUGGAGUGAGUCCUGACUGCUCCAGUCUCAGCCACCCUUGGGGAUUCUCUGCUCUGCUGAAACCAUGUAGCUUAUGUGAAAGCACCGUGACCAUCUGGUUUCAACCCUCCAUGGCUCACCAGGGAAGUGUUUUAUGACCUGGCCACAGCCAGUCUCUCCAACCCCCUGGCCUCCACUUUAUGCUCCACCCAGCCUCCAUCUCGUGAAGCUGCCUAGACGGGCCAAGCUCUGCCUUACUUCUGAAGCUUUGCACAGGCUGUUCCCUCUUUCUGGUAGAUAUCCUUUCCCUCAUUUCCCCCGUUGGCCAACUCCUGUUCAUUCUUCAGCUCAAGUGUCUGGGGCCUUGGAUCUUUUCUGUGUGGGUCUCCACAGAUGGCUUGGGCUUCCUCACAGCAUGGUGACUGGAUUCCAAGCCUGAGCAUCCCAAAGAACCAGAAGGAAGGUGUAUUGCCCUUGUGGUGCAGCACCAGAUGUCGCACAGCAUCACUCUGCCAUUGCCAGAGGUCCACCAAGUUCGAGGGGCACUUCACCUCUCAGAGAGGAGUAUCAAUGUCACAUCACAAGAGGAAUCUGUGGGAUGAGAGCAUUGGUGAUCCUGAAAGCUUCCCUGGGGUGCUGAGAAAGUGAGAUGGGCCACAGUCAUUCCUGUGAGGUCUGAGACAGGGAAGACGGGGAGUUAUCCGAGUACGCCUGGCCUGCCCAGGAUCAUGGUGCCCCGGAGGUUAUUGGGAUAAAAGGAUCUGCCUGGCACUCAUCCUUCCGACUGCAGGAAAGGCCUGGAAUAUUCUUGGGAUGUACUCCAAGGGGAUCUGGCCCUGCCUCCUUUGUCCUCUUGCCAGUUGGAGCCAAAUAAUUUUGAUUUCCAGAUUGUGAAGAAUCCUUCAGGCCCCCUGGUUUAGCCAUAUUUCAGCUGUUGCAGUUGUGAGGAUCUCCCACUCCUUAUCUUGGGCGUUCGGUUAUACCACGUGGAUGUCCACAGGGCCUCCAGCACCAACACGUGCUCUGUCUCCUUGGCCGACAAAGGCAAAGCUGUGUGACCUGGAGCACAUGCCCUCACUUCUCUGAGACACUCCUGGCAGCAGCCACAAGCUGCUGGCUCCAUGAAGUUGUCAGAAAAAAACAUCACAGAAGUGCUGCUGCGGGACCUAGCUGGCUGCGCAACCACCCCGUGUUGCUGGUAAUCAUGGCCCUCCCCUGCCAAUGGGGAGCAGAAAGGGAUUUAGUCCGAAGGCAUGAGCUCUUUUGCUUUCAAGUGUGAGCAAACCUUUCAUUGAUCAUUUAUUGAGCAGCUACUGAUACUGGGCCCUGGGCAGCACCAAGGACACGGUAAUUAAUGCACAUGAUGUAUGUGAGCCCUGCCCUCAAGGGCUCUCCAUCUGGACUAUGCCAGAAACAGAGGAACCGGGAAGGUGACAUCUAAGCAUAGACCAGAAAGCUGAAGAAUUAGCCAGAUGGAAAAGGGUGUGUGUGGGGGGGAUUUCUUAGACCUAGGGUCAGGGGAGCACAGGGCUUCUGGGGCUGGAGCACAGAAUGUCAGCACAAGGCAGAGCUGGAGGGGACACAGGCCACAAGGCAACUGAGUACAAAUGGGAGUGCUGAAAAGAAGCUGAGGCAGGAAAGGGACUGGAGUGUGUCGGGGUGGGGCUGCACCGAGGAGAGGGCACUUGAGCAGAGCCCAGAGAGGUGAGGGGCGAGUCACGUGGGUGUUCAGGGGAAGAGCAUUCUGGGCAUGGGGAGCCCAUGCCAGGGUCCUAAGAAGCGCACUGUGCUCCUGCCCUCGGGGGGAGCAGCCAGGAGGCCAUGUGGCUGCAGCAGGGUAGACAAGCGGGAGGGACAGGGAGGUGAGGUCCGAGAGGUGCAGGGGAUCAGGCCAUUAGGGCCUCGGGGCCUGCUGAGGACUCCGGCUUGUAGCCCAGAUGAGAGGGCAGCGUGGGGGCCACUCAGCAGAGAAGGGACGGAGGCUGACUUUGUGGGCCCCAUGAGAACAAGCUGGAAGGGCAGGGAGGAAGGAACCAAGGAGGAGGCAAGAUUCUAUGGCGGCUGAGCGGUGUUAUCACCAAGAUGAGAUUGCUUUCUGGGUGGGUUUUGAAAGUAGAGCCAGCAGAUGCUGGAAAACAAGAAAGAAGAAUAAAGAAGGGAGGAAAGGAGAGAGGAAGGGAGCCCAGGGGAGGGGAAAGGUGGGGGGAGGAUGGCAAAUUCACAGUGCACAUACCUCUCUGUCCCCUUGCCGUCCGUCACAGACAUCGUUAACGGAGAGACCUUUCUGCCAGACUGACCCUAAGAAUCCUCCUCAGCCCAAGCCUGCAAGCCAUCAUUCCCACUAGUCAGGUCAGAUGCCCAACGAGGCUGGAAAGCAGUCUGGGUUCACGUGGUGAAGGACACUGUUAUUUGCGGCCACCUACCACAUGCCUGACACUAACUGCUUUUCAAAUUCUCUCAUUUCCACGCUCACAACACAAACCGUGCGCCUGGCACUAGUAGCCCCAUUUCACAAGCCAAGACUCUGGGAUGUCCAGAGACUCACACGGAAUGCCCCAGCUGCCCAGGGGUGACCCUCACCUUGCUAUGCUUGGGCCUCAUCCACCACACCUGGGCUUCCUGGCCAUGCCAGGGCUCUGCAUUCCAAUAGGCUGUAGAGGCAGGUGUGGGCAGAGCAUCCCUGGAGGCUGAGAACCCCACCUUCCAAUUCCUGUGCCAUCUCAGGGCAGGAUGAUGUGAGGGGUUAUGUGCCCGGGCUGGGAACCGGCACUGGCUGGGGAUGGGCUCCACCCAGCCUGGGGGCUGCCAUCCUUGCCCUUGGCCAAGGUCAUCAUCAGUCUCUUCUCUCUUCUGGCACACCCAGAAGUUCAGGGCCAAGAACUAUGAAGUGCUAUUUGUGCCUGGAGAGGGCUCCAGUUGCCAGGAGAUGGGGUCAUUACCAUACCUGGGCAUCCCCCUUACCUCCCCACCCCACCUGAACAUCUUCUGUGUGAUUAGAGAGCUGGUCUGUGAUGUGGGUCUGUCUUCAGAGAGAGGUCUUUAAAUGCCUGUGACAUAGAUGGCCAGAGAGGCUCAAGACUGCGUGCGUGACUGCAGAGCCAGGUGGCUUGCUGUGAGGUCUUGGGUCAGAGACCCAAGAGGCUCUCUGAGCCUCUUUCCAGGUUAAAAGGGCACGGUAAUAGUAGCCACCUCAUAAGGAUUUUGUGAGCAUCGCAGGGGUCAUUCACAUCUGGCACAGUAAGUACUCAGGAAGGUUAGCUGUUAUUACCGUUAUGGUAGUUAUUUUUAUUCAUCCCUGAGUUCUCAAGACCCGCAUGAACCUGAUCAGGUGCCCACUAAAUCAGUGGGGGACGCAGGGAUAACUAGCCUCCUUGGGGUGGCACCUAGGGAGUGAGGGGAGACAAGGACGAGAGAGGAAAGGAAGGCGGGAGCCGGGUCUAAGCCCAUGUCAGCCACCGCUUUGCUGUGUGACCUUGGGCAAGUCUAUUGUCCUUUCUGGACCUCCAGCUCCCCUUCAUUUACAUUCAGGACAAGCAUGAAGGCCCUUCCAGCUCUGCACGUCUGAUUGGGCCUGUGUUUUGGUAGCACAGUCUGGGGCCAGAUGCCUUGAUAUCAGAUUUAGAAAAGGCUUGGGGCCCCCGGGCCUCCCUAUUCCACGGAGAGGUGCUAACUUUCCAAAGAGGAGGGGGCUGGAUAUUACUGGCUAUGUGAUAUACUCCCCGCACUUCUCUCCUACCCGCCCCCGCCAAGCUCAGGCCUCCUCCAUGCCAGACCGGCUCCUCUUGUCCUUCCCAACUCGGCCGGACUCUACCCGCUUCAGGAAGCCUUCCUUGAUCUAGGCAGAGGAGUCAGCUGCCCCCGUGGUCUUCUUCAGGGACCAUGAGACGUCUGGUUUGAGGGCUGUCUUCCUACCAAGCAGCUGUCUUCAAGGGCAGAGACUGAGUCUUCUCUGCAGCUGUGUCCCUAGUCCCCUGUGCAGGGAAAACCGGGAGUCUGGGGUGAAUGAAUGAGACAAGAGCCAAGUCUUGAGCAUUAGAGGAAGAGAUCCAGACACCUUCUGCCAGGAGGGGCAGGAUGGCGUUGACAAAAGAGCAGAGCACAUGGAGCCCCAAGGACCUGACUCUUAACCCUGGCUCUGCCCUGUCCUGGUGGGGGAUCAGUUUCUCACCCAGAGCCUCAAUCUCCUCAUUUGUCCAAAAUGGCCAAUUAUUGCUGCCUCUCAGGCAGUUGAAGGUCAGCGUCCCUCCCUGGGGUGCUGAAAGGGUGGGAAUGUGCACACCUGUGCCCCGUGGGCUUCUGCCGGUCCUCCUGCCCCCUGCCUCCCUGGCUUCUGGGUGCCAGGCCAGCCCUGUCUCAGGCCCUCAGAGAAGGGACCACACAGGCCUGGCCUCUGGAGUGAGCCUGUGAAAUGAAUGGUCCUGAAGUGCCCAUAGGAGUGUGGGCAGAAAACUGGGCAGGCUGGUCCCAGACUGCAGCCUCUGACAAGUGACCCACACCCCUGAGCCUCUGUUUUAUGCCCUGUCACUGAACAGGGGGACUGUCAGCACUGUCAUGAGGAUUAAACCAGUUGACAGAUGCAGAGCCUGGCACAGCCUUGAAGAAGACGCACUCCCCUGCGAGAGAGCUCGUGCCGCUGCAAAUGUCUUCACAUCCCUCUGCCUCAGUCGGAGGGUGGGGGGACUCAGCCCGACUCCACUCCAGUGCCUGCUAUUUUGACCUGUUCACAACAGAAAGCAGAUCGGUGGCUCUAAACUCUCCCAGGCAACAGCAUCUAGAGA